rnacentral:lncRNA from 1 species
UGGCACUUCGUUUCAGCUGAACGGCUACACACAGCCCUCUUCAAUUUCAUUAUAAAGGUAAAAUUAGAAAAGCUAAACAUUAAAUCUUAUAAAGAAAUAUAAUUUGAUUUAAUGUCAUUAGAAACCGGCGCAAAAUAGAGAAUAUGGAGCUGGCUUAACUGCUUCGGUGCUGAAUAAAACAUCAGCCCUUUGCCCGUUCACCUGCGUGCUCCCAGCUGUACCUGUUGAUGCUCACGUUUCCUCAUUAGCUCAGUCAUUUCAUGGUAUGCCAUUUUAGGGGCACAUAUGUUUCCUAUUAGCAAUAAUGAAUUAAUGGGGGAUGUGUGGUAAUAUGAUAGCAAAAUUCAGUAAAAAUUCUAUUUGAACUUAAUUCUGUGGGAUAUGAAUAUAACCCACAAAGGAGUACUCUGAUCUACAGUGAAGAAUAAUUUGCCUACCGCUCUGGUUUGCAAUUAAUGAGAAGUCCUCAGGAAAUCCCAAUUUCUGAUUAAAGAGAGUUGAUUAUGAUUAAUGUAUCCAAAUUAACUGCCAGAAAGGAAGCCACCUCAUAAUUAUCGACAUUGUUCCUUCAGUUUUAAAUUCCUAAGGCUACUCAUAUCUGUGCCCUUUUCUCUAAUCCUUAAAGAUGUAUAUUUGGUUUUUAACUUUUGAUUGGCAAGACAAUGAUUGUCCUUUGUUUCUGAGUGUAGAAAAUAUUCAAGGUCUUAUGACUUUUCUUUUUACCCCUCUCUAUCCUUCUGUGAAAAUAGUAUCACUGGGGAUUCCAGCAAGUUGCCAUGAACCCAGUAUGUCAACUUCAAAUGCACUUGGUCUAACUUGAUAAGCACUGCGUCACCAGAGUACUCGCUCUUGGCCAUUGUGCUGUGCUGCCUUCCAUGGCACUUGGUUGAACUUUUGAAGAACAGAAGAUGUGUUUCCAGGCAGAUAUGGUUGUAUGAAUACGGUCAUCAAGCAGAUUGCAAUGGGAUCCCAUGCAGCAAAGCCCCGUCCAUUGUCAUCUCACUGAGAUUGUUGCCCUACUGGUUGGCCAUGGUACUUCUAUAUGGAAGCAAUAACCAGGGGAUCCCGAAACUGUUGAAUACAAUAUGUUCUGCUUCCCUUUGGCAGAAAUUGUUAUUUUCGAUCACAAAUACAUUUCCACUAUUAAAAAUAUGAA